ACUGUCUGUCUGGAAGAUGAUAUGGGGGUCUGGACUGUCUGGAAGAUGACAGAGGGUCCUCCACACCAGGAUAGUGUAAAACAGAAGGUCCUCCACACCAGGAUAGUGUAAAACAGAAGGUCCUCCACACCAGGGCAGUGUGAAACAGAAGGUCCUCCACACCAGGGCAGUGUGAAACAGAAGGUCCUCCACACCAGGACAGUGUGAAACAGAAGGUCCUCCACACCAGGACAGUGUGAAACAGAAGGUCCUCCACACCAGGACAGUGUGAAACAGAAGGUCCUCCACACCAGGACAGUGUGAAACAGAAGGUCCUCCACACCAGGACAGUGUGAAACAGAAGGUCCUCCACACCAGGGCAGUGUAAAACAGAAGCUCCUCCACACCAGGACAGUGUGAAACAGAAGGUCCUCCACACCAGGACAGUGUGAAACAGAAGCUCCUCCACACCAGGACAGUGUAAAACAGAAGCUCCUCCACACCAGGACAGUGUAAAACAGAAGCUCCUCCACACCAGGACAGUGUAAAACAGAAGGUCCUCCAAACCAGGACAGUGUAAAACAGAAGCUCCUCCACACCAGGACAGUGUAAAACAGAAGCUCCUCCACACCAGGACAGUGUAAAACAGAAGCUCCUCCACACCAGGACAGUGUGAAACAGAAGGUCCUCCACACCAGGACAGUGUAAAACAGAAGCUCCUCCACACCAGGACAGUGUAAAACAGAAGGUCACCCACUCCAGGACAAUGUAAAACAGAAGGUCCUCCACUCCAGGGCAGUGUAAAACAGAAGGUCACCCACUCCAGGGCAGUGUAAAAGAGAAGGUCACCCACUCCAGGACAGUGUAAAACAGAAGGUCACUCACUCCAGGACAGUGUAAAACAGAAGGUCACCCACACCAGGAUAGUGUAAAACAGAAGGUCCUCCACACCAGGAUAGUGUAAAACAGAAGGUCCUCCACACCAGGGCAGUGUGAAACAGAAGGUCCUCCACACCAGGGCAGUGUGAAACAGAAGGUCCUCCACACCAGGACAGUGUGAAACAGAAGGUCCUCCACACCAGGAUAGUGUAAAACAGAAGGUCCUCCACACCAGGAUAGUGUGAAACAGAAGGUCCUCCACACCAGGGCAGUGUGAAACAGAAGGUCCUCCACACCAGGGCAGUGUGAAACAGAAGGUCCUCCACACCAGGACAGUGUGAAACAGAAGGUCCUCCACACCAGGACAGUGUGAAACAGAAGGUCCUCCACACCAGGACAGUGUGAAACAGAAGGUCCUCCACACCAGGGCAGUGUAAAACAGAAGCUCCUCCACACCAGGACAGUGUGAAACAGAAGGUCCUCCACACCAGGACAGUGUGAAACAGAAGCUCCUCCACACCAGGACAGUGUAAAACAGAAGCUCCUCCACACCAGGACAGUGUAAAACAGAAGGUCACCCACUCCAGGGCAGUGUAAAAGAGAAGGUCACCCACUCCAGGACAGUGUAAAACAGAAGGUCCUCCACACCAGGACAGUGUAAAACAGAAGGUCCUCCACACCAGGACAGUGUAAAACAGAAGGUCACCCACUCCAGGACAGUGUAAAACAGAAGGUCCUCCACUCCAGGGCAGUGUAAAACAGAAGGUCACCCACUCCAGGGCAGUGUAAAACAGAAGGUCACCCACUCCAGGGCAGUGUAAAAGAGAAGGUCACCCACUCCAGGACCGUGUAAAACAGAAGAUCACUCACUCCAGGGCAGUGUAAAACAGAAGGUCACUCACUCCAGGACAGUGUAAAACAGAAGGUCACCCACUCCAGGACAGUGUAAAACAGAAGGUCACCCACUCCAGGGCAGUGUAAAAGAGAAGGUCACCCACUCCAGGACAGUGUAAAACAGAAGGUCACCCACUCCAGGACAGUGUAAAACAGAAGGUCACUCACUCCAGGACAGUGUAAAACAGAAGGUCACCCACUCCAGGGCAGUGUAAAAGAGAAGGUCACCCACUCCAGGGCAGUGUAAAAGAGAAGGUCACUCACUCCAGGACAGUGUAAAACAGAAGGUCACCCACUCCAGGGCAGUGUAAAAGAGAAGGUCACCCACUCCAGGACAGUGUAAAACAGAAGGUCACCCACUCCAGGACAGUGUAAAACAGAAGGUCACUCACUCCAGGACAGUGUAAAACAGAAGGUCACCCACUCCAGGGCAGUGUAAAAGAGAAGGUCACCCACUCCAGGGCAGUGUAAAAGAGAAGGUCACUCACUCCAGGACAGUGUAAAACAGAAGGUCACCCACUCCAGGGCAGUGUAAAAGAGAAGGUCACCCACUCCAGGGCAGUGUAAAAGAGAAGGUCACCCACUCCAGGGCAGUGUAAAAGAGAAGGUCACCCACUCCAGGACAGUGUAAAACAGAAGGUCACCCACUCCAGGGCAGUGUAAAACAGAAGGUCACCCACUCCAGGACAGUGUAAAACAGAAGGUCACCCACUCCAGGGCAGUGUAAAAGAGAAGGUCACCCACUCCAGGACAGUGUAAAACAGAAGGUCACCCACUCCAGGGCAGUGUAAAACAGAAGGUCACCCACUCCAGGACAGUGUAAAACAGAAGGUCACCCACUCCAGGGCAGUGUAAAAGAGAAGGUCACCCACUCCAGGACAGUGUAAAACAGAAGGUCACCCACUCCAGGGCAGUGUACAAACUGGCUAAGUAGUGUCAGAGGACAUCUCAGACAUUCUGGAAGAGUUUGAGACAGAGCCGAGCAGAUUGUAGCUGUGACUGUUGAUAAUGCUGUUAAUAUGGAUGUUGCCAUCAAGAGGCUACACAUUGAAUGUGGCAGCACAGAAAUCAGAGCAGUGGUUGUGUGGUUCAAGAGAUCCUCGAUGUCCAAAACAGUCGAAGGAAAAGCAGCAGCUCAUUGGUAAGAAGCCACAGCUCAAUAUAUAUGUUUUAAUUGUACCUUUUAUUUAACUAGGCAAGUCAGUAGAGAACAAAUUCUUAUUUUCAAUGUCGGCCUAGGAACUGUGGGUUAACUGCCUUGUUCAGGGGCAGAAUGACAGAUUUUUACCUUGUCCGCUUUCGGUUACUAGUCCAACGCUCUAACCACUAGGCUACCUACCGUCCCAAAACAAUAUUCAAAUAUUAUUUUGAAAUUCACACAUUUAAGAAUUUAAUUCAAUAUUCCAGUGUGCGGUAAUAAAUGUAUGUUGUGUUGUUGUUGUCGUUUCAGACCUUCCGCAACACUCACUCAUCCUUGAUGUCAGGACCAGAUGGAACUCUAUCUAAUGAUAGAGAGAUUCAUGGAGCAGUAUACAACAAUCCAAGCAGCAGCCUUGGACCCACGACUGUGAAAAGCAAUGACAAGCUGGACCGUCUGAAGGACGAGGACUUCCAUCCACUCACGCCGCCAAACAUACUCGCGUAAAACUGACGAUCCUACCGAUCCUCGACGAUGUCAUUUACAAAAUAGCUUCCAAUACUCUACUCAGCAAACUGGAUGCAGUCUAUCACAGUGCCAUCUGUUUCGUCACCAACGCCCCUUAUACCACCCACCACUGCGACCUGUAUGCUCUAGUCGGCUGGCCCUCGCUACAUAUUCGUCGCCAGACCCACUGGCUCCAGAUCAACUAUAAGUCUAUGCUAGGUAAAGCUCUGCCUUAUCUCAGCUCACUGGUCUUGAUAACAACACCCACCCAUAGCACGCAUUCCAGCAGGUAUAGCUCACUGAUCAUCCCCAAAGCCAACACCUCUUUGGCCGCCUUUCCUUCCAAUUCUCUGCUGCCAAUGACUGGAACGAAUUACAAAAAUCGCUGAAGCUGGAGACUCAUAUCUCCCUCACUAACUUUAAACAUCAGCCAUCUGAGCAGCUAACCGAUCGCUGCAGCUGUACAUUGUCCAUCUGUAAAUAGCCUGUAAAUUACCUACCUCAUCCCCAUAUUGUUUUUAUUUACUUUUCUGCUCUUUUGCACACCAGUAAUUACUUCGCUACAAUGGGAAAUGUAUUGCCUUACCUCCUCAUGACAUUUGCAAACACUGUAUAUAGACUUCUUUUUUUUCUAUUGUGUUACUGACUGUACGGUUGUUUAUUCCAUGUGUAACUCUGUUGUUUGUGUCACACUGCUUUGCUUUAUCUUGGCCAGGUCACAGUUGUAAAUGAGAACUUGUUCUCAACUAGCUUACCUGGUUAAAUAAAAGGUGAAAUUAUUAUUUUAUUUUUUUAAUAAAUAAGGCUGAGGAGUUUGUCCAGCUCAUGAGAAUCCUCUAUACAUCCACACUGUGUCAUGUGAAAAGAAUGCCACCUGUGGUCAGAUCAAACCCGUCCUCCACAAACUGGAAGAGAACUUCACAGUGAAGCAUGAAGAUACAAUGUUAGUGGCAACCAUCAAAGAGAAGGUGUGGGAGAACCUCUCCGAGUGCUAUCAGGAUGAUGACAUUCCAUCCUUCCUGCAUGAGGACACAGCAAUGGACCCCAGAUUUAAAGGGAGGCUGGUGAGUGACGCCACCUGGGACAGGCUGAGGAAGGCAACUGUUGAGGAGCCGCAGCAGACAGACACAGAGCACCAGCAACAGAAGGAGUCUGAAGGAGAGGAAAUGGAGGAGACAGUCCCUCCAUUGUACAAAACAAGGAGUGCCUUGGAGGAGCUGUUCUCAGAGGAGGACAGGGAGUUGAGGUUGACGAUCCAACAGGACACCUCGUCCCUCACCAAGCGUGUUGACCUUGAGGUCGAACUCUAUAAAGGCCUGGCUCCCAACCCUAUCAUCACAACCUAGUCUAUAAUAGUGAUUCGAUCAAAACAUUAUAUUUCAGAAAAUAAAGCAAUGUGAAUUCUGUUCUUAAUUUGUUUUUGUUUUUCUCGUAAAAAAUAACCGAAAGAAUACUGUUAAAGUACCGGAUGGAUAAGCAGUAUCGGUAAGAGUAGUAAUACCGUUAAAAUGUUAACGAUACCCAUCUCUACCCAGGACAGAAACACAUUUAGAUCCAACCAAAUUAUGAGAAAGCAAAAAGAGAACUAUUUGACAUACUGGAAAGAAUCAACCAAACAAAUUGGAACGCUAUCUCAAUCAAAUGUAUUUAUAAAGCCCUUUAUACAUCAGCCGAUGUCACUAAGUGUUAUACAGAAUACCUUAAGAAAAUCCAUGAUUAUGUACAGACUCAGUGAGCAUAACCUUGCUAUUGAGAGAAAGGCCAUAGCCUGUCUUCUCUCAAGAGCCAUGUCUGCCUAUUUAUUUAACCUUUAUUUAACCAGGAAGGGCUCAUUGAGAUUUAAAAUAUCUUUUUCAAGAGCGUGCUGGCCAAGAUAGGCAGCACCAAGUCAUGACAAAAAUUAUAGACGAACAACAUGACAAACUACAAGUAAUCUACUAAAAACCCAUAGAAUUCACAAAAGUAUAACAAAAUCAAAAACAACAAAUUCAAAAUAUUGACAGGUCAGGGAAUCAGUCUCAAGAUCAUUCAUCAGCGAUUUAAAAAUACCAAUCGGGACAAGUUCUUCCAGUCUAAAAGUAUUUUGUAAGGCGUUCCAAGACGAUGGCACAGAGUACAUCAAAGCCCUUUUACCAAAUUCAGUUGGGACAUUUGGAACAGUUAGCAGGAUAAAGUCCAGCGAACGAAGAGAGUACCCACCACAUUUCUGAACAAUAAAAAUGCCCAAAUAAAAAGGUAGUAAACCCAAAAUGGUUUUGUAAAUAAAGUAUACCAGUGCCUGAGCCUACGAGUGACUAGAAGGCCAGCCAACCCUGGUAUACAAAGUGCAGUGGUGCGUAAGGGUUUUGCAGUUUAAAAUAAAUCUCAAAGUGCCAUGGUAAAGAGUGUCAAUUGAUCUCAAACACUGAGGGGAAGAAUUCAUAUAUAAAAUAUCCCCAUAGUCUAGUAAAGGCAUAACUGUAGCUGAUACUAGCCUCCUUCUGGCUUCAAAAGAAAAACAGGCCUUAUUCCUAAAAUAAAAUCCCAAUUUCAGCUUCAAUAUUUUUGUAAGUUGUUGAAUAUGCAAUUUAAAAGAGAGGCCGUCAUCAAUUAAAAUGCCAAGAUAUUUAUAUGAGCACAUGUGCCUAUGUGCACACUGCCCAAGAAAAAUUAGGUGGAAACUGAGCUGUACUUCCUAACCUCCUGCCAAAUGUAUGACCACGUUAGAGACACAUAUUUCCCACAGAUCACACAGACCCACAAAGAAUUAGAAAACAAAUAAACAUUGAUAAACUCCCAUAUCUGUUUGGCAAAAUACUGCAGUGUGUCAUCACAGCAGCAAGAUUUGUGGCCCGUUGCCAUGAGAAAAGGUCAACCAGUAGAACACAAACAACAUUGUAAAUACAACCAAUAUUCAUCUGUUUAUUUAUUUUCCCUUUCAUACUUCAAUUAUAUGCACACUGUAUAGCCAAUAAUAUAACAAUUGAAAUGUCUAUAUUAUUUUACAACUUUUGUGAGUGUAAUGUUUACUGAUGUUUCCCUUGUUUAUUUCCCUUUUGUUUAUUGUCUAUUGUCUAUUCUAAGCCCUUUGAAUUGAAUUGAGAGGUAUAUAGAUGGGCGGUAGCGAGAGAGAGAGGGGUAGAGAGAGAGGGGGGUAGAGAGAGGGAGAGAGGGGUAGAGAGAGAGGGUAGAGAGAGAGAGAGGGGUAGAGAGGGGUAGAGAAAAGUAGAGAAAGAGGGAGAGAGAGAGAGGUAGAGAGAGAGAGAGAGGGAGGGGUAGAGAGAGAGAGAGAGAGAGAGGGGUAGAGAGAGAGAGAGAGAGAGAGAAAGAGAGAGAAAGAGAGAGGUAGAGAGAAAGAGAAAGAGAGAGAAAGAGAGAGAGGUAGAGAGAAAGAGACAGAGGUAGAGAAAAAGAGAGAGAAAGGUAGAGGUAGAGAGAAGGGUAGAGAGAAAGGUAGAUAGAGAUAAAUAGAGAGAGAGGGGUAGAGAGAGGAAGAGAGGGGUAGAGAGAGGGAGGGGAGGGGUAGAGAGAAAGAGAGAGGUAGAGAAAAAGAGAGAGAGAGGUAUAGAGAGAGGUAGAGAGGGGUAGAGAGAAAGAGAGAGAGGGGUAGAGAGAGAGGUAGAGAAAGAGAGAGAGAGGUAGAGGUAGAGGUAGAGGGGUAGAGAGAAAGGUAGAUAGAGAUAAAUAGAGAGAGAGGGGGUAGAGAGAAAGAGAGGGGUAAACAGCUGACAGGGAGAGAUAUGUCCUCUCAACAUGAAUGUUUGGGCAUUGUGUGUGGGCAGCAUGAGAAAAGUGCUGUCAGAGGUAAGAAUCUGGUACUGUGAAAAAGGGUAGGGACUCUGGCUCCCCCUGCAGUUCAUGAUUUAUACUGCAGUUAAAUGUGUACGGAAGUGUAGUUAGGCGAAGGAAGUCCAAGGCAACAUGGAGCUAAACAACUCAAUCACUGAAAGUGAAUUACUUACCACUGGGCUUUUGUAAAGGCUAUGUGCAAGUGUUGGUCCUUCUGUAGCUCAGUUGGUAGAGCAUGGCACUUGUAACGCCAGGGUAGUGGGUUCGAUUCCCGGGACCACCCAUACGUAGAAUGUAUGCACACAUGACUGUAAGUCGCUUUGGAUAAAAGCGUCUGCUAAAUGGCAUAUAUUAUUAUUAUUAUAUAUAUAUUAUUGAUGUCUCAGUCUGUCACCAUCCCCGAAUCUCUGUGUGUGUGUG